CAUUAACAAAUUCCACAACACUCGUCUUUACCGGUCAGGGCCCUCGGGCCGUGGCCUGGUAUUAUGACAUCUUCACACACCUUAUCAUUGACAACCAAAGGAGAACCGAAAUUAAUCGUUAAACAACUUUUAACAAUGGAUCUCUUGGCUCUUGCAACGAUGAAGAACGCAGCGAACUGCGAAACGUAAUGUGACCUGCACUCUUCGUGAAUCAUCCAAUCUUUGAACGCACUUUGCACCUCGUGGCUCCUGUCACGAGGUAUACUUGUUUGAGUAUCCGUAACCAUCUCACCCUCCCCUCGGGGCGGCGGUGGACGAUGAGAUUCGAGUCAUCCUCGCGGGUGACCCGUCCCUCAAAAAGCAUGGCCGUUACAUGGAAGGUCUCCGUUGGGGCCUGACAGACCAUUGGGAUAACAUCCUACAAUCGUCUUGUCAGUGUCUUCUCUGAGGCGUUGACCGACCUUGGCCACCCGGAUCAAGCAGACGGCCACCCGGCCGCGCCUGUACGAUCAUAAUGUAUGCCCGUCAUACAUGACAUCUGGAUCUCAAAUCAAGUAAGGAUACCCGCUGAACUU
rnacentral:rRNA from 1 species